rnacentral:rRNA from 1 species
UACGAAGGGGGCUAGCGUUGUUCGGAUUUACUGGGCGUAAAGUGCACGUAGGCGGAUUGGUCAGUUAGGGGUGAAAUCCUGGAGCUCAACUCCAGAACUGCCUUUAAUACUGCCAAUCUCGAGUCCGGAAGAGGUAAGUGGAACUCCUAGUGUAGAGGUGGAAUUCGUAGAUAUUAGGAAGAACACCAGUGGCGAAGGCGGCUUACUGGUCCGGUACUGACGCUGAGGUGCGAAAGCGUGGGGAGCAAACAGG